UGGGGUCUAGUUCAAAUGGUAGAGCGCUUGCUUGGCAUGCAAGAGAUAGGGGGAUCAAUGCCUGCGUCCUCCA
rnacentral:tRNA from 1 species